CCUACGGGAUGCAGCAGUGGGGAAUAUUGCACAAUGGGCGCAAGCCUGAUGCAGCCAUGCCGCGUGUAUGAAGAAGGCCUUCGGGUUGUAAAGUACUUCCAGCGGGGAGGAAGGUGUUGUGGUUAAUAACCACAGCAAUUGACGUUACCCGCAGAAGAAGCACCGGCUAACUCCGUGCCAGCAGCCGCGGUAAUACGGAGGGUGCAAGCGUUAAUCGGAAUUACUGGGCGUAAGGCGCACGCAGGCGGUCUGUCAAGUCGGAUGUGAAAUCCCCGGGCUCAACCUGGGAACUGCAUUCGAAACUAGCAGGCUAGAGUCUUGUAGAGGGGGGUAGAAUUCCAGGUGUAGCGGUGAAAUGCGUAGAGAUCUGGAGGGAUACCGGUGGCGAAGGCGGCCCCCUGGACAAAGACUGACGCUCAGGUGCGAAAGCGUGGGGAGCAAACAGGAUUAGAUACCCCUGU
rnacentral:rRNA from 1 species